ACUCCUACGGGAGGCAGCAGUGGGGAAUUUUGGACAAUGGGCGAAAGCCUGAUCCAGCAAUGCCGCGUGAGUGAAGAAGGCCUUCGGGUUGUAAAGCUCUUUUGUCAGGGAAGAAACGGUGAAAGCUAAUAUCUUUUGCUAAUGACGGUACCUGAAGAAUAAGCACCGGCUAACUACGUGCCAGCAGCCGCGGUAAUACGUAGGGUGCAAGCGUUAAUCGGAAUUACUGGGCGUAAAGCGUGCGCAGGCGGUUUUGUAAGUCUGAUGUGAAAUCCCCGGGCUCAACCUGGGAAUUGCAUUGGAGACUGCAAGGCUAGAAUCUGGCAGAGGGGGGUAGAAUUCCACGUGUAGCAGUGAAAUGCGUAGAUAUGUGGAGGAACACCGAUGGCGAAGGCAGCCCCCUGGGUCAAGAUUGACGCUCAUGCACGAAAGCGUGGGGAGCAAACAGGAUUAGAUACCCCGGUAGUCCCAUGA
rnacentral:rRNA from 1 species